UUAGUGGUUUCCAAGUGUGGUCAUUUCAGGUGCUCGUCAAUGUUAAGUGUAUUUGCCAAAGGGAUCCCAGUGACUUGGGCCCCCUUUGCUGAGAAACCACAUAGAGGACUACUACAGGUGGGCUCAGCUCCACCAAGUGAUUUCAAUCAUUUUAAAUCCCAACCAAGGGUUGAGGGUGCUGUUCUUGCAGUGGCUUUACCCAGUGAGGAGGCAGACAACAUCCAUUCUAUAUACAGUCUAUGGGCACAACCAAGAAAUUGAGGCUACAAGAUCCUUAAAGGUUAGCUGGUCAUCAAUCAUGACACUACAGUUUCCAGACAUACUUUGCGUGCAUCAGUUUCUCUGAUCCAAACUGGGUAUCAGUCUGAGUCAAAUGUGGUGUUUCUUCAUCCAUUCAGUCAUAUCACAAAAGCAUAAUGAGAUUUUAGUUGAAAGAGUUGUGUGAGUGUGACAGAAAGAGACGGGUAUUGUCUGCAUAGUAAUUGUUGUUGGCCUGAAAGAAAAAAAAUUCACUUGGACAGUUUUAAG